UCGAAGACUGAGAAAAUACAUUCUUUUUGAUGAAUAACAUUUCUACAGUUCCCAAAGGAUAUACAUGUCCAAAAUUUUAAAUACGGCCUUUAUCAGGAGAUUUCACCACUGAGGUCACUCUUCAGCAUAGAAGAACAUGUCACAGCAGCAACGUAAAGACAUACCAGAUUUAGUGAUUCAGAUGGGAUUCAGGCACAAUGAAUUCUUGCAUUUUGUGCCUCUAUCAGUUUUUGAACGUGAUGUGACCAGACCAGACCAGACAGUGAGAGCAAUGAAAAACGCUGGCAUUCUGAAUCAGGCUUUCAAAAGGCUCUGUGGAAAUAAAAAUAAAUACACCAAACCCUAAA